rnacentral:rRNA from 1 species
CGCGUAGGCGGUUUGCUAAGUUGAAUGUGAAAACUCUGGGCUUAACCCAGAGCCUGCAUUCAAUACUGGCAGGCUAGAGUUCUGGAGGGGAUAGCGGAAUUCCUGGUGUAGCGGUGAAAUGCGUAGAUAUCAGGAGGAACACCGGUGGCGAAGGCGGCUAUCUGGACAGAGUCUGACGCUGAGGCGCGAAAGCUAGGGAGCAAACA